AUUUCUCGGAUGGCUCAUGAUAUAUUGAGUGUUCCACUUUCAACCGUGGCUUCUGAGUCAAUUUUCAGUUCUGCUAAGAGAAUACUUGAUGAUUAUCGCUGCAACCUGCUCCCGGAAACAAUUGAGGCUAUAAUGUGUUCACAUGAUUGGCUCAAGGGUCGCAUACCAGUUGAGCUGAGAGUUGUUGAAGAUAGCAUACCUGCUUAUGAAUCAUUUGUAGCAACUCCAAAUCAGGAAGAUCAAACUGAUGGUGAUUAAGCAAUCAAGGAAGAAGAAAGAUCUGGUACAAUGUUUGUGGACAUUGCAAGUGGCAUGCUCUAUGUCAAGUGGCUCGGACAUGAAUCUUGCUAGGAGUUAGUUUCUGUAUGGAGAGGAUGGUGUAAAAGCUUACUGUUGUACACUUCUAUAAUAUUCGCAUUGUAAGAUACAGAUUGAAUCUGUUGUUAUUGAUCUCCACCCAUGGAGAUGCACGUUGAGAUCAUUACGUGGC